CCUACGGGUGGCUGCAGUGGGGAAUAUUGGGCAAUGGACGCAAGUCUGACCCAGCAACGCCGCGUGAAGGAAGAAGGCUUUCGGGUUGUAAACUUCUUUUAAGGGGGAAGCGCAGAAGACGGUACCCCUUGAAUAAGCCACGGCUAACUACGUGCCAGCAGCCGCGGUAAUACGUAGGGGGCAAGCGUUAUCCGGAUUUACUGGGUGUAAAGGGAGCGUAGGUGGCAUGGCAAGCCAGAAGUGAAAACCCGGGGCUUAACCCCGCGGAUUGGUUUUGGAACUGUCAGGCUGGAGUGCAGGAGGGGCAGGCGGAAUGCCGGGGGUAGCGGUGAAAGGCGUAGAUAUCAGGAGGAACACCGGUGGCGAAGGCGGCCUGCUGGACUGUAACUGACACUGAGGCUCGAAAGCGGGGGGAGCAAACAGGAUUAGAUACCCCUGUAGUC
rnacentral:rRNA from 1 species